rnacentral:rRNA from 1 species
CCUACGGGAGGCAGCAGUGGGGAAUAUUGCACAAUGGGCGAAACCCUGAUGCAGCAACGCCGCGUGAGUGAAGAAGUAUUUCGGUAUGUAAAGCUCUAUCAGCAGGGAAGAAGAAAGACGGUACCUGACUAAGAAGCCCCGGCUAACUACGUGCCAGCAGCCGCGGUAAUACGUAGGGGGCAAGCGUUAUCCGGAUUUACUGGGUGUAAAGGGUGCGCAGGGGGAGGUGAAAGUCAGCGGUCAAAUUGCGGGGCUCAACCCCGUACUGCCGUUGAAACUGCAUCCCUUGAGUGCGCGAGAAGUAUGCGGAAUGCGUGGUGUAGCGGUGAAAUGCAUAGAUAUCGCGCAGAACGCCGAUUGCGAAGGCAGCAUACCGGCGCCCGACUGACGCUGAGGCACGAAAGCGUGGGGAUCGAACAGGAUUAGAUACCCUUGUAGUC